rnacentral:snRNA from 10 species
UAAAAUAAAAUAGGAACGAUAUAGAGCUUGGCAUGGCCCUUGUGCAAGGAUGACAUGCAAAUUUGUGAAGAGUUCCAUAUUUUU